rnacentral:sRNA from 1 species
GUGAAGGAGGCUUUGCUGCAAACAUUGCUAACCCACCGAUCACCAGUGUUGAGUGGGCUGAUCUGGGUGCCUAGGGAGUUGCCCCUUCCUUCGCUG